GUGCCGCUGAGGGUUGGAGAGUGGGUGGAUCCGGGUCUUCCUCCAGCAGCUCAAGGGCCGCGUAGCCCGGGAGGCCAUUCAGAAGGUGCAUCCGGGUGGCCUUCAGGGACCAAGGCGCCGGGAGGCACAGCCCCCAGCCCCCAUAGAGGUCUGGACGGAUCUGGCUGAGAAGAUAACAGGGCCACUGGAA
rnacentral:sRNA from 1 species